AUUGAACGCUGGCGGCAGGCUUAACACAUGCAAGUCGAGCGGAGAUGAGGUGCUUGCACCUUAUCUUAGCGGCGGACGGGUGAGUAAUGCUUAGGAAUCUGCCUAUUAGUGGGGGACAACAUUCCGAAAGGAAUGCUAAUACCGCAUACGCCCUACGGGGGAAAGCAGGGGAUCUUCGGACCUUGCGCUAAUAGAUGAGCCUAAGUCGGAUUAGCUAGUUGGUGGGGUAAAGGCCUACCAAGGCGACGAUCUGUAGCGGGUCUGAGAGGAUGAUCCGCCACACUGGGACUGAGACACGGCCCAGACUCCUACGGGAGGCAGCAGUGGGGAAUAUUGGACAAUGGGCGGAAGCCUGAUCCAGCCAUGCCGCGUGUGUGAAGAAGGCCUUUUGGUUGUAAGGCACUUUAAGCGAGGAGGAGGCUACUGAGACUAAUACUCUUGGAUAGUGGACGUUACUCGAAGAAUAAGCACCGGCUAACUCUGUGCAGCCGCCGCAGUAAUAC
rnacentral:rRNA from 1 species